GACGAACGCUGGCGGCGUGCCUAACACAUGCAAGUUGAGCGACGAACCAGGGCUUGCCCUGGGGCAAAGCAGCGAACGGGUGAGUAACACGUGGGUAACCUACCCCGAUAACCGGGACAACCCGAGGAAACUCGGGCUAAUACCGGAUGUGCUCACUGGACUUCGGUUCAGUGCGUAAAGGAAGCUUCGGCCUCCGUAUCGGGAGGGGCCCGCGGCCCAUUAGUUUGUUGGUGAGGUAACGGCUCACCAAGACCGCGAUGGGUAGCUGGUCUGAGAGGACGAUCAGCCACACUGGGACUGAGACACGGCCCAGACUCCUACGGGAGGGAGCAGUGGGGAAUGUUGCGCAAUGCGCGAAAGCGUGACGCAGCAACGCCGCGUGGGGGAAGAAGGCCUUCGGGUUGUAAACCCCUUUCAGGAGGGACGAAGGUUCGGCGGUGAAUAGCCGUCCGGACUGACGGUACCUCCACAAGAAGCCCCGGCUAACUACGUG
rnacentral:rRNA from 1 species